rnacentral:rRNA from 1 species
GCCCGGCGUAAAGCCGUGUAUUAUCUACCGCAUACGACCUACGGGUGAAAGCGGGGGAUCGCAAGACCUCGCGUUAUUGGAGCGGCCGAUAUCAGAUUAGCUUGUUGGCGGGGUAAAAGCCCACCAAGGCGACGAUCUGUAGCUGGUCUGAGAGGACGACCAGCCACACUGGGACUGAGACACGGCCCAGACUCCUACGGGAGGCAGCAGUGGGGAAUUUUGGACAAUGGGCGCAAGCCUGAUCCAGCCAUGCCGCGUGUGGGAAGAAGGCCUUCGGGUUGUAAACCACUUUUGUCAGGGAAGAAACGGCUCUUACUAAUAUUAGGAGCUAAUGACGGUACCUGAAGAAUAAGCACCGGCUAACUACGUGCCAGCAGCCGCGGUAAUACGUAGGGUGCAAGCGUUAAUCGGAAUUACUGGGCGUAAAGCGUGCGCAGGCGGCUUUGCAAGACAGAUGUGAAAUCCCCGGGCUCAACCUGGGAACUGCAUUUGUGACUGCAUGGCUAGAGUACGGUAGAGGGGGAUGGAAUUCCGCGUGUAGCAGUGAAAUGCGUAGAUAUGCGGAGGAACACCGAUGGCGAAGGCAAUCCCCUGGACCUGUACUGACGCUCAUG